GAGGAAACUGCUAGAUAUGGCUUAUCUUGUCCAUAUCAAUUCCUAUCAACAAGCCACAUCAAGAUUACAACUUCGUCUUGAAAUGAUAAUAUAUUUUCUUGAUAGAGGUCAAGUUAGCUUAAUCUUGAUGAUUGGUUAUCUUUACCUUGAUCAAUGGCUAUCCUUAUCUUGAUUAUUAGUUAUCCUCGUCUUGAUGAUUGGUUAUCCUUAGACCCUUACUACUAUGAAUAGACCAUUCUCUCUUCAUUCCAAAAUAAAGCAAUCUUGGAAAAGCUCUGUCUCUAAGAGCAUUUUUUUAGAGUGAGAGAAACACAAGUUGUUUUGGGCUUUGGGGAGUGAGGAUAUUUUGAGAGAUGGUCUCUUGUAAUCUCAUAUUUCACAUAGUGAAAAUUCUUUUGAUUGUCU
rnacentral:misc_RNA from 1 species